rnacentral:rRNA from 1 species
GAAACUCGAGCUAAUACCGCAUACGCCCUUCGGGGGAAAGCGGGGGAUCUUCGGACCUCGCGCUAUUGGAUGAGCCUGCGUCGGAUUAGCUUGUUGGUGAGGUAAAAGCUCACCAAGGCGACGAUCCGUAGCUGGUCUGAGAGGAUGAUCAGCCACACUGGGACUGAGACACGGCCCAGACUCCUACGGGAGGCAGCAGUGGGGAAUAUUGCGCAAUGGGGGAAACCCUGACGCAGCCAUGCCGCGUGUGUGAAGAAGGCCUUAGGGUUGUAAAGCACUUUCAAUUGGGAAGAAAAGCUUGUCGUUAAUAGCGGCAAGCCCUGACAUUACCUUUAGAAGAAGCACCGGCUAACUCCGUGCCAGCAGCCGCGGUAAUACGGAGGGUGCGAGCGUUAAUCGGAAUUACUGGGCGUAAAGCGCGCGUAGGUGGUUUGUUAAGUCAGCUGUGAAAGCCCUGGGCUCAACCUGGGAAUUGCAGUUGAUACUGGCCGACUAGAGUACGAGAGAGGGAGGUAGAAUUCCAUGUGUAGCGGUGAAAUGCGUA